UACGGAAGGUCCAAGCGUUAAUCGGAAUUACUGGGCGUAAAGCGCGCGUAGGUGGUUUAUUAAGUUGGGUGUGAAAGCCCCGGGCUCAACCUGGGAACUGCAUCCAAAACUGAUUCACUAGAGUACGAAAGAGGGAGGUAGAAUUCACAGUGUAGCGGUGGAAUGCGUAGAUAUUGUGAAGAAUAUCAAUGGCGAAGGCAGCCUCCUGGUUCUGUACUGACACUGAGGUGCGAAAGCGUGGGUAGCGAACAGGAUUAGAUACCCUGGUAGUCCACGCCGUAAACGAUGACAACUAGCUGUUGGGAAGCAAUGCUUUUCAGUGGCGCAGCUAACGUAUUAAGUUGUCCGCCUGGGGAGUACGGCCGCAAGGUUAAAACUCAAAUGAAUUGACGGGGACCCGCACAAGCGGUGGAGCAUGUGGUUUAAUUCGAUGCAACGCGAAAAACCUUACCUACUCUUGACAUCCUUGGAAUCUCUUGUAAUGAGAGAGUGCCUUUUGGAACCAAGUGACAGGUGCUGCAUGGCUGUCGUCAGCUCGUGUCGUGAGAUGUUCCGUUAAGUCGGAUAACGAGCGCAACCCUUACCCUUAUUUGCCAGCGGUUCGGCCGGGAACUAUAAGGGGACUGCCGGUGAUAAACCGGAGGAAGGUGAGGAUGACGUCAAGUCAUCAUGGCCCUUACGAGUAGGGCUACACACGUGCUACAAUGGGAAGUACAGAGGGACGCCAAAGCGUGAGCUGGAGCUAAUCUCAUAAAACUUUUCGUAGUCCGGAUUGCAGUCUGCAACUCGACUGCAUGAAGUCGGAAUCGCUAGUAAUCGCGGAUCAGCACGCCGCGGUGAAUACGUUCUCGGGUCU
rnacentral:rRNA from 1 species